rnacentral:lncRNA from 1 species
UAGCCGUUACUAAGUUGACUCACGUGACCUGUUGAAAAUGGGUUUUCACCAUUAAGAGCGACUUGACUGCAAUCUCUCUCAACAAAGAAGCAAGCUGGUUGAUUGACACCAAAACCAAGAGGAGCUGUCUUAUGACUGAUUUUCCAGCUCCAAAAGGAUAGCAAAUCAAAGGAACAUCCCUUGAAACUAGUAUUUUCAUCUAAGAUACUUUUUCUCCUGCUUGUGGAUCAACUCACGAGGGCAUGUCUGCAGCAGACAUGGGACAACACUCAAGUUUUAUCCUCCA